rnacentral:rRNA from 1 species
AAUUACCCACUCCCGGCACGGGGAGGUAGUGACGAAAAAUAACGAUACGGGACUCAUCCGAGGCCCCGUAAUCGGAAUGAGCACACUCUAAACACGUUUCCGAAAAUCAAUUGGAGGGUAAGUCUGGUGCCAGCAGCCGCGGUAAGACCAGCUCCAAUAGCGUAUAUUAAAGUUGUUGCGGUUAAAAAGCUCGUAGUCGAAUUUGUGUCCCGCGCCGCUGGUUCAUCGCUCGCGGUGUUCAACUGGCGUGUCUCGCGGGACGUCCUGCCGGUGGGAUACUGGGUCUAAUGGCUCAGUCCCUACUCGCCACCGCCUUGCGCGGUGUCCGAAUCCCAUCGCGGUGCUCUUUAUUGAGUGUCGAGGUGGGCCGGCACAUUUACUUUGAACAAAUUAGAGUGCUUAAAGCAGGCCAGUUUUGCCUGAAUAUUCUGUGCAUGGAAUAAUGGAAGAGGACCUCGGUUCUAUUUUGUUGGUUUUCGGAACCCCGAGGUAAUGAUUAAUAGGAACGGAUGGGGGCAUUCGUAUUGCGACGUUAGAGGUGAAAUUCUUGGAUCGUCGCAGGACGGACAGAAGCGAAAGCAUUUGCCAAAAACGCUUUCAUUGAUCAAGAACGAAAGUUAGAGGUCCGAAGGCGAUCAGAUACCGCCCUAGUUCUAACCAUAAACGAUGCCAGCUAGCGAUCCGCCGACGUUCCUCCGAUGACUCGGCGGGCAGCUUCCGGGAAACCAAAGCUUUUGGGUUCCGGGGGAAGUAUGGUUGCAAAGCUGAAACUUAAAGGAAUUGACGGAAGGGCACCACCAGGAGUGGAGCCUGCGGCUUAAUUUGACUCAACACGGGGAAUCUGACCAGGCCCGGACACCGGAAGGAUUGACAGAUUGAGAGCUCUUUCUUGAUUCGGUGGGUGGUGGUGCAUGGCCGUU